CCUCACUGCAGAGCCCGAAACACCACAGAAGGCCACCGUGGGACCCGCUGACCUUCCAACUGCCCCCCACAUCUGGGUCACCAAAGAGGGACAGUGGGCUUGUGCAGAGGACAGCACGACGUUCCUCUUUGCCACCUCCA